AUGCUCGCUUUGGCAGCACAUAUACCAAAAUUGGGAUGAUACACAGAAGAUUAGCCUGGCCCCUGCACAAGGAUGAUAUGCAAAUCGGUGAAGCAUUCUAUAUUUUA